rnacentral:rRNA from 1 species
GACGAACGCUGGCGGCGUGCCUAAUACAUGCAAGUAGAACGCUGAAGCUUGGUGCUUGCACCGAGCGGAUGAGUUGCGAACGGGUGAGUAACGCGUAGGUAACCUGCCUGGUAGCGGGGGAUAACUAUUGGAAACGAUAGCUAAUACCGCAUAAUAGUAGAUGUUGCAUGACAUUUGCUUAAAAGGUGCAAUUGCAUCACUACCAGAUGGACCUGCGUUGUAUUAGCUAGUUGGUGAGGUAACGGCUCACCAAGGCAACGAUACAUAGCCGACCUGAGAGGGGGAUCGGCCACACUGGGACUGAGACACGGCCCAGACUCCUACGGGAGGCAGCAGUAGGGAAUCUUCGGCAAUGGACGGAAGUCUGACCGAGCAACGCCGCGUGAGUGAAGAAGGGUUUCGGAUCGUAAAGCUCUGUUGUAAGAGAAGAACGAGUGUGAGAGUGGAAAGUUCACACUGUGACGGUAUCUUACCAGAAAGGGACGGCUAACUACGUG